rnacentral:rRNA from 1 species
AUUUUAAAUGGCUGCAGUAAUUUGACUGUACAAAGGUAGCAUAAUCAUUAGUUUUUUAAUUAAAAGCUUGUAUGAAAGGUUGGACGAGGUAAAAUCUGUCUCUUUUUAAUAUAAUUAGAAUUUAAUUUUUAAGUAAAAAAGCUUAAAUUUUUAUAAAAGACGAGAAGACCCUAUAGAGUUUAAUAAUUAAAAUAAGAUAAUUAAUUUAGAUUUAUUAAUUUUAUUUUAUUUAAAUUAUUUUAUUGGGGUAAUAAAAAGAUUUAGGAAAUUCUUUUUUUUAAAACCAUUAAUUUAUGAUUAUAUGAUCCAUUAAUAAUGAUUAUAAGAUUAAAUUACCUUAGGGAUAACAGCGUAAUUUUUUUAAAGAGUUCUUAUCGAUAAAAAAGUUUGCGACCUCGAUGUUGGAUUAAAGAUUAAUUUAGGUGUAGAAGUUUAAAUAUUUGGUCUGUUCGACCAUUGAAUCUUUACAUGAUCUGAGUUCAAACCGGUGUAAGCCAGGUUGGUUUCUAUCUUUAUUUUUUUUUUAUAUUUUAGUACGAAAGGACCAAAUAUAAAAUAUAUUAAUAUUUAAUUUUUGAAUAUUAUU